rnacentral:rRNA from 1 species
CUACGGGUGGCUGCAGUGGGGAAUAUUGCACAAUGGAGGAAACUCUGAUGCAGCAACGCCGCGUGGAGGAUGACACUUUUCGGAGCGUAAACUCCUUUUAUAUAGGAAGAAGAUGACGGUACUAUAUGAAUAAGCGCCGGCUAACUCCGUGCCAGCAGCCGCGGUAAUACGGAGGGCGCAAGCGUUACUCGGAAUCACUGGGCGUAAAGAGCGUGUAGGCGGAUUAAAAAGUCAGAAGUGAAAUCCUAUAGCUUAACUAUAGAACUGCUUCUGAAACUCUUAAUCUAGAAUAUGGGAGAGGUAGAUGGAAUUUCUGGUGUAGGGGUAAAAUCCGUAGAGAUCAGGAGGAAUACCGAGUGCGAAGGCGAUCUACUGGAACAUUAUUGACGCUGAGACGCGGAAGCGUGGGGAGCAAACAGGAUUAGAUACCCCGGUAGUC